rnacentral:rRNA from 1 species
CUAGGACGAACGCUGGCAGCGUGCUUAACACAUGCAAGUGGAGCGACGAACCAGGCUUCGGCCUGGGGCAAAGCCGCGAACGAGUAAGUAACACGUGGGUAACCUGCCCCGAAGACUGGAAUAACCCAAAAAAACCCGAGCUAAUACCAGAUGUGGUCGCCGCCCAUAAGGGGGGCGACUAAAGGAAGCUUCGGCCUCCGCUUCGGAAUGGGCCCACGGCCCAUUAGCUUGUUGGUAAAAUAACGGCUCACCAAGGCGACGAUGGGUAGCUGGUCUGAGAGGACGAUCAGCCACACUGGGACUGAGACACGGCCCAGACUCCUACGGGAGGCAGCAGUGGAGAAUCUUGCGCAAUGGGCGAAAGCCUGACGCAGCAACGCCGCGUGGGGGAAGAAGGCCUUCGGGUUGUAAACCCCUUUCAGGAGGGACGAAGCUCCGGUGGUGAAUAGCCGUCCGAAGUGACGGUACCUCCAGAAGAAGCCCCGGCUAACUACGUGCCAGCAGCCGCGGUAAUACGUAGGGGGCAAGCGUUGUCCGGAAUCAUUGAGCGUAAAGCGCGCGUAGGCGGCCAGAUAAGUCCGGUGUGAAAGUCCCAGGCUCAACCUGGAAAUGCCGCCGGAAACUGUCUGGCUAGAGUCCGGAAGGGGCCAGUGGAAUUCCCGGUGUAGCGGUGAAAUGCGCAGAUACCGGGAGGAACACCAAUGGCGAAGGCAACUGGCUAGGACGGUACUGACGCUGAGGCGCGAAAGCGUGGGGAGCGAACAGGAUUAAAUACCCUGGUAGUCCACGCUGUAAACGAUGGGCACUAGGUGUGGGAGGUGUCGACUCCUCCCGUGCCGCAGCUAACGCAUUAAGUGCCCCGCCUGGGGAGUACGGCCGCAAGGCUAAAACUCAAAGGAAUUGACAAGAACCCGCACAAGCAGCGGAGCAUGUGGUUCAAUUCGACGCAACGCGAAGAACCUUACCUGGGCUUGACAUGUAGGUGACAACCGUGGAAACACAGUCUCCCUUCGGGGCACCUUCACAGGUGGUGCAUGGCUGUCGUCAGCUCGUGCCAUGAGGUGUUGGUUAAGUCCCGCAACGAGCGCAACCCCUGCCCCAUGUUGCCAGCGGGUAAUGCCGGGGACUCAUGGGGGACUGCCGGUGACAAACCGGAGGAAGGUGGGGAUGACGUCAAGUCAUCAUGCCCCUUAUGCCCAGGGCUACACACGUGCUACAUUGGCCGCUACAGAGGGUUGCGAUACCGCGAGGUGGAGCGAAUCCCAAAAAGGCGGUCUCGGUUCGGAUUGGAGGCUGAAACUCGCCUCCAUGAAGGUGGAGUUGCUAGUAAUCGCGGAUCAGCAACGCCGCGGGAAUACGUUC